AGACUCCCUGCUGAGCAGGGAGCCCGAUGCGGGACUCGAUCCCGGGACUCCAGGAUCAUGACCUGAGCCGAAGGCAGUUGCUUAACCAACUGAGCCACCCAGGCGCCCUUAAAUGUAUAAUUUCAUGUAAUUUUUUUAAAGUAAACUCUACGCUCAAUAUGGGUCUUGAACUCACAACCCUAAGAUCAAGAGUCCUGAAUAUAUAUGCCCAUGACCAGUAUCAGUCAAGAUACAAGACAUUUCCAUCAUCCCAGAAACUCCUCCUCUUGUCCCUUCCAGUAAAUUCCCACUCCCUAUUGGCAACAACUAUUUUGAUUUCUAUCAUCACAAUUAGUUUUGUCUGUUCUUGAAGUUCCUAUAAAUGAGAUCAUACAAAACAUUUCCAUUUGUGUCCGGCUUCUUGGAGCAAUGUGUCUUUGUGAUUCAUCCAUGUUGUUGCAUGUAUCAGCAACUUACUCAUUUUAUUGCUGAGUAUUGCAAUUCUGUGAGAUGAUUACAAAAAGUUAAUCUGUUCCACUGUUGAUGAAAUUUGGAUUGUUCUUAGUUUGGGGCUACUAGGAAUGAAAAAUGCUAAAAACAAUCUUGUGCAAGUGUUUUUCUGGACAUUGUUUUCAUUUCUCUUGAGUAAAUACCUAGAGAUACAAUUGCAGGGUCAUAAGGUAGGGGCAUGUUUAACUUUGUAAGAACAUGCCAGUUUUCCAAAGUGGUUGUACCCUUUGACACGCUCAUUGUUAGUGUAAGAGAGCUCCCUGUUUCUCAUCCUCCUUAUUGGCACAUGAUGUAGCACUCUACUGAGGUCAGGACUCGGAUGAGCUAACAUCUGAGAUUCAUUCUCCCAUGGUUGUGCUGAUCUGGUUAUUCAGCACUGUUUGUUGAAAGACUUCUUUCCACGUUGCACUGUCAAGGGGCCUUCGUGAGGGUCUGUUUCUGGAAUUUCUAGUAGAGCUGAUGGAAAAAGGAAGGAAACUCUUUUUGGGAUUACCUGGUGUGGAUCAAUGCUUACAGACACAUUCUCUCAACAAGAAGACAUUACUGGCUUGGAGGCAUGGGUAACUUGGUCAGUAGGUGAUACAGCAUCCUUUAUUUUAAAAAGCUGAACGAUCUGUUAAGUUAAAGAGCAGGGCAUUUCGCCUAAGAUGACAUUUCCAAUUUCUUUGGAGAAAACCAGGAAACCUAGGCCAGUGUUUCCCUCCGUGGAGCAGUCAUCGAGAGCUGCGGAGCUGCCUCUUGUAGAAGGCAUGGGGUCGCAGGCUCACCCCCAUCUCCUCCAGGGGCCCAGCGGCUUUUCUUCUUCUUCUUUUUCUCUUGACCCCUCUUGGCAUUUGAGCGGGUGCAUUCUGGCUCCUGCCAAGUGCUCCAGUCCGCCGUCUAGGCCGCAUCGCUCCGCUGGUCCUGAGGGAUGGACAGGCACUGCUCCACCGGUCUGCUCCCACUCCGGCCCUACUUGUCCCGUAAAACGCCCGAACCCAGAAAGGGUGGCCUCGUCUCUUGUCCUCGGAGGCCGGGGGUGGUUUCACGUUUCCCGAGAGAGAGAGGCUUACGGAACCUGUCUUGCUUUGGGCGGGCAGUUCGCCCCCUUCACGAGGAGCACUCUCGAGGAGGUCUUCGCUGCUGGUCGGAGCUGUCCCUGUGCCACCAAACUUCCCCCUGGCACAGCCCCGGGAGCUUUAGCGCUUAGCUACUUCCUGUUCUGGAAAACUCUUUCUUCGUGUCCUGCACUUCACCUGGUCCCAUCACAUUCCUUUUUCUCUCUCCAAGGACUGUGUGAAGCAGAGUUUUAAGUGCCUCCACGAGUCACUGCUGUUUGAGAGACAUUGUAGUAAGGUUUCUGAAAGGACAGGACUUUGUGGGGUGUAUCUUUCAGGAUAGACUAGGGUAUGCUGCAAUAACAGGUUAGUAUUGAAACCCCGCUGCUAUGUGCAGCCACCACCGUAUCUUGCUUGGAGGGCAUCUGCUCCAGGUAUGGGGGCUCCUGAUGUGGUUCUCCAAAGCAAGUCGCCCUGCCAGCCAUGGCAAUGGUAGACUCCUUGGUUGGCACUGGGGGAAGGAGGAGUUGCACAGUGUCAUGGGGCUUCUUUAUUCCCUCAGCCAGGGACUGACCGAUGGUGCACCUCUGCUCACGUCUCAUUGGCCAGACCUGACCACAGAACCUCUCUGAACUGCAAGGAAGCUGAGCGGUCUGCUUUGCGUGUGCUAAGAAGAAAGCGCCUGGGUUGAGAUUUGGUGAACAAGCUGUGAAUAUGGGCUGGGACUCGAGGCUCCAGCCCCCUUGCUUUCUCUGAAACACAGUCCGUAUCCUGGUAUUCGCUUGACAACCCGUUCUAGAGGCAAAUGUCAGUGUUAACACUGGAUGCUCUGGAUUUAUGCACGUUCACUUGGCACUCAUCACGUAGCCCAGAGUAACUGCUUGAUUUAGAUGGGGCAGGACAAGCCUGGCCAGCAAUGAUAGCAUUUAGUUUGGUGACAUUAAACAUUAAACUAGUGAAUGCAACCCCUUAAUAAGAACUGGGAAUUUAAACACUCCUUUUAAGAACCACGUUGGUUGGGGCACCUGGGUGGCUCAGUCGUUAAGUGUCCGCCUUCGGCUCAGGUCAUGAUCCCAGGGUCCUGAGAUCAAGCCCCGUGUCGGGCUCUCUGCUCAGUGGGGAGCCUGCUUCUCCCUCUCCCACUCCCCCUGCUUGUGUUCCCUCUCUCACUGUGUCUCUCUCUGUCAAAUAAAUCAAUACAAUCUUUUAAAAAAAAGAACCAAGUUGGUUAUCAGUUAAGUAAUAUAUAAUCUUGGACAUACUGAUUUGAAAGUUAAAGUUGAAACCGAAGGCAGAAAAACAUCACAUAUUCUCAGUGAGGUCACCUCUAACUCUCCCCAACGUGGGAAGGUACAUGGGCUGGUCUACAAACCCACUCGUGGUCUGACCCUCUGCAAACCAGUUAGCCCUUCCUACUCUCUUUUCCCCUAAUUUGUUUUCUGACAAUAAAAAAGAACACAUGUUUAUUGUGAUAAAUUUGAAACUUAUUAACAAUUAUAAAGAAAAUAAACAGAAUAAAAUACU